GGUUGGGAAACUAAGAUCCUGCAAGCCUGGCAACACAGUCAAAAAAGAAAAAAAAUUUUUUUUCAAAGUAAUUAUUAAGAUCCUAAGCUGCUCCUGUUGAUCCUAACCACACCUCUAUAAUAAACUAUGGUCCUAAUUCUUAGUUAAAUAGAAGACCCAAGGACCAACCGUUUGUCAAAUACUCUAGUCUUUCUUUCUUCUCCUCUUGACUCCAUUUAGUGUGCUAUUUUACUAUUUGUUCAUUCUUUUUAACUUCAAAGUAGCAGGAAGAGAACAAACAGCUUAAACCAUUCAAUUCACCACCUUUGAGCAGCUCUGUGGAGAGGUUUUCUGGAGGUAGGUGGUGUUUUGGGUCAAUAUAAUUAUCAGUUGCAGUACCAGUUCUGCCUCUUCUUCAACUCUCAGCUGUCUAAAGGGGUUAUAGGAAAGUCCAUCUUAAAACUGAAGGAAUUAAAAUACUGUCACUAUCUUGAAAAAUCCGCACGGUGACUGGAAUAAACCAAUUGGCACCUGUUACAGGAUGUUCUAGCCACCUCUCCACCCUGUGGCUUCAACGGCAAUGUUGUUGACAUUUUCAAAAGGUCCAGAGCGGGUAGCUUGCCAGGAAGUCCUUCUCAUACAGAGGCAGACAUGCCUACAGGUGGGCCUUUAUACUGAGAAACCUCUGUGAUUCAAGAGUUGGGCAACAUAUUCCUGAUGCUAGGGAAUCAAGCCAAAGGCUUCAAAUGUAGGCUGUCAGGCCAACAUCUCAAGGAAUAGCCAAAGAGGCAGAAAGUUAGAGAAACAGGCUGGAAUGGAGUUUGAAGGUAGAGCCAUUCCUUUUAGACGCAUUUUACCAGAGAGUGGAAAUGGAAUUGGUUUGUACAUCCUGUGUGCUUAUACUAACCCUCUUCCCAAAAUACAAGACACAAUGUCAAAUAUAGUUUCCGGGAAUGAGCUGCAAACCUGAACCCCAACUCUCAAAGAUCUCAAGGUCUUUAUCUGUGUGCUGCCAUGAAGGUAUUUUGUAGAUGUAAUUACUGUUCAUUAUCAGUAGACUUUAAAUAAAGGUUAUCCUAGAUAAUCUGGCCAGGCCCAAUUCAAUUAGCUGAAGGGCUUUCAGAGCAGAACCGAGGUUACUAGGAAGAAAUUCUGCCUGUGGAUUGCAACUUCAGCGCAUGCCUGAGAGUUCCAGACUCCUUCUCCUGACACACUGCUCUACAGAUUCAGACUCGUCUUCUAGCCAGCCCCACAAUUGUCUAAGUCAAUUCCUUGCAAAAAAAAAGAAAAAAAAAUCCUUAAUUUAUAUCUCUGACUGGUUCUGUUUCUCUCAUUGAGCCUUGGUACAGUG
ensembl:lncRNA